CCCUUAGAUGUUCUGGGCUGCACCCGUGCUACACUGGUAGGUUCAGCGAGCUUCAUGCCCUGAUCUGAAAGGAAUGGGAAAUCUUUUCAAAACCUGCCGUGCUUGGGAUAGAUGUUUGCAAUUAUUCAUCUUCAACGAGGAUUGCCUUGUAAGCGCACGUCAUCAGCGUGCAUUGAAUACGACCCUGUAUUCUGUACACACCGCCCGUCGCUCCUACCGAUUGAAGUUUUCGGUGAGUUGACAGGAGGAUUUUUUUGAAACUGGUUCGCCAGUGGAUUUUAGAUCCAAAUGCCAACGAAUCGAUGGCUUUAGAGGAAGGAGAAGUCGUAACA
rnacentral:rRNA from 1 species